ACAGUUACAAGUUUACGGUUUUUAUUUAAUCUUCUUUACGGUUAUCUCUUUGCAUUCUUCAUUGUCAGUCGAUGGCCAUUUUUGGUACUUUUCUACUGAAGUAGCAAAAAUAUCCAUCGUCGACGACGACUAUGAAGGCAACAAUUACAACCAUAUGCCAUAAGAAAGACAAUAUCUUGAGAAGGUGAUUGAACACAUGGAGGAACAUGACACAUGUUUGUUUGGGGAUAUUGUGCUCAGUUCAUUUUGUCCUCAGAUUCUUAAAGUCUCCACUCCCAAUUAUGAAUACAAUGUGAUCCUCCAGAAAUCUACUCCUUAAUACUAUAAAAACGACCCAGAUGAGAAGAGCCAGCAGCAAUCUUGCGAAUUCCGCAAUCACGAUUACAAGUUCGAGUUGACUAGAUAGCAAUUCUGUCAAUGGGCAUCUGAGCUAGGCUUUAUGGCAUAAUUAUGACUUUGAGUUCAGUGACGUUGAACAAGAACCUAACAAAGAACCAAAAUUUGCCUCCCAAAUUGCUGUUUUUAGAAGAAAAUAUAGCAGUCCCAUGAAUGGGGAUUUUACUAAACACUAUGAUGUUAUCUGGGAAUGGAGUAGUAGCAAUAAUUUAAAAUCUUAACACUAGAUGUUCUAACAAACUCAUUUUUGCUACAUUUUGGUCAGUGAUAUGGAUUCCAGAAGCUAUAGAAAUCUACUCCUCUGUUAAUACGGUUUUCUUUGUAUUCAUUACGUAAUUGUUUCUGCAAUUUAAUUCGCAUUGC